UACGUAGGGACCAAGCGUUGUCCGGAAUCAUUGGGCGUAAAGCGCGCGUAGGCGGCCCGAUAAGUCCGCUGUAAAAGUCCAGGGCUCAACCCUGGAAAGCCGGUGGAUACUGGCGGGCUCGAGUCCGGAAGAGGCGAGUGGAAUUCCUGGUGUAGCGGUGGAAUGCGCAGAUAUCAGGAGGAACACCGAUAGCGAAGGCAGCUCGCUGGACCGUAGCUGACGCUGAGACACGAAAGCGUGGGUAGCAAACAGG
rnacentral:rRNA from 1 species